GACAAGUAAAUUCUGUAGCUAAACAAUAAAAUUCAUCGCUAAUCAUAUACAUCGAAUACGAAUUAUCGAAAAAAAUUUAUUAGCUAUGAGCAAUUUAGUAAUGGAUUUCUACAUGUUUGCUAACAAGUUGUUUAAUUCUCAGAUGUGGUGAAAGGAAAGGAGUGUAAGACUAGUGAAGAUUGCAAAUAUGAAUGCCCAGAUCAAAUCCUAAUUUGCCUAAAUGGCUAUUGUGUUUGUAGUGUGAUCAAUACAAGCUUUGAUGAUCAACAAGGCAAUAGCAUUGGUCCCAAAGUUCAUUUGGGUUAAAAGAUAUUGGAGUUUGUUCAAGUGAAUCUAACGCCGAAUUAUUAGCUUAUGAAAAUUAUUACUAUGUUAUAUGAUGUUUUGAUUAUAAAAUGUGGAAAUGAAAUUGAAUCAUUUGUUGGUUGGUUCUUUUAAAAAAAUAAUUAUUAUUAUUAUAAAUGUAUUUACAUUAUAGUAAAUGUCUAUCAAG
rnacentral:lncRNA from 1 species